GCUAUCAACCAAGCAGAGGCUGCCAACGUUCGGGAGGUUCCUGUUAAUUUUAAGAUAAGGCACAACACACAGUGCACACACAGACACGCAACACCUGCAGCAGCUGUUCAACUAUUUAAUGUCGAGAAAGGAGGAGAGAGGUAAAAACCCGAGAACCCGAACUUCAAUUGCCCGAGCGCCAAAAACCGGAAGCCACCGGGAGCGGAACCUAACCUAAUAAAAAACACACACAAGCCUCCACCAGCUCAUUAGAGAUCCGGAAUUCCAGCCCGAAACCCCCAACCCCGGUAGAAGUGUUUGCAUCGAAAUCGAGUCGAAAUCUACUUAAAAGUCGUCCCGUCCCGUCGCCAGCGCCACCUAUGAUCGCCGGCCACCUACGCCGAGGAAGAAGCCUACUGGGCCCCAGAAGAGCGAGAGAAGGUUAAAGCAAUAAUUGAGUUAUAGGUAAAACGAUUUUGUGAGCGGCACGACGACGACGACUUCGUCGUCUACGGCCGAGGCGAAAAAUUCAAUCUGUGUGUUGGGUUGAGGUUAGGUUCGAGAAACUAUAACUAAGUUUUGACGGAGUUUUUUUUUUUCUUUUUUCUCAAUCCGAGGAGGAUUUCGGACCCGGGUGGGUGGCGGCUGCGGCACGAUAAUGGAUUGAGAAAUCACACACAUGACCAGUCGAGAUGGUGAGGGUUAGGUUUCGUGCGUACGCACGCGGGUGUCAGUUGCAUUCUGCCACCUGGUGGCGCAAUUUGGGUUGAACGGGGGAUUUGUUUACUCCGGCUUUAACUUUCGUUUUAUGAACUGAAACAGACUGCAGACUGGGCGGUAGGCGAUGACGGCGACGCUUUUUUUAUUUUAUCUAGUGCGGGAUUCUUCGGAAAGGCGCGAUCACGAUCGAGUAGCAGGCCAUGUUUUGGGAAAGGGGGGCGAUUGCUGUGUGGUUCUAUUUACAAAACACACACCACGGCGCAUUUGCAUUUCAAACGAAAACGCACCGCCUGCUACGAGCGAGUUGUAAUGCUCGUCUUGACGAGAUCGGAUUGGAGGUGAGGAAAUCCAUGUCAGAAUUCACAAAAAAAAAA